AACGCGAAGAACCUUACCUACUCUUGACAUCCAGAGAAUUUAGCAGAGAUGCUUUGGUGCCUUCGGGAACUCUGAGACAGGUGCUGCAUGGCUGUCGUCAGCUCGUGUUGUGAAAUGUUGGGUUAAGUCCCGCAACGAGCGCAACCCUUAUCCUUUGUUGCCAGCGCGUAAUGGCGGGAACUCAAAGGAGACUGCCGGUGAUAAACCGGAGGAAGGUGGGGAUGACGUCAAGUCAUCAUGGCCCUUACGAGUAGGGCUACACACGUGCUACAAUGGCGUAUACAAAGGGAAGCGACCCUGCGAAGGCAAGCGGAACUCAUAAAGUACGUCGUAGUCCGGAUUGGAGUCUGCAACUCGACUCCAUGAAGUCGGAAUCGCUAGUAAU
rnacentral:rRNA from 1 species